rnacentral:lncRNA from 1 species
UUUAUUUUAUUGUCGAAGAUGGAUUUUAUACGAAUGUCACAUAAAAUUACUUUACUAUCAAUAAUUUUGGCUAUCUUUCUUUUGUGUGUAAUGUAUGUAAAUUAUUAUAUUUAAAUAGAAUUAAACAAUAAUUAUCUUGAGGUAAGAUUGAAUACUAAUAUUGAUAUUUAUGUGUCAUGGUAAACUGUGUAAUUUCUAUAACGACCCAACCCACUAGCAAUAAUAACUCGUUGGGCCCAAACCAGCAGCCCAAAAUACUUAAACCCAGUUAUUAUAACUAGUAUCUGAGUCUCUUAUAUAUUCAAUUAUAUUUCCAUUCCUAUCCGAUAUGUCUAAGUUUCUUAUAUAUCCAAAAGACUCCCCUCGUUAAGGUCCUGACGUCCUGCCUCAGCCGAGAAGGUCCACACAUUCAAACACAUUUCGCUGGUGAACCAAACUCGAUAACCAAAUGUAAGAUCCAACCCAUAGCAAUAAUAACUUAUUAAACCCAAACCACCAGCGCAAAAUAUUUAAGCCCAGUUAUUAUUACUAUGUCUAAGUCCUUAUAUACCCAAUCAUAUGUCCAUUUCAUCCUGUGAGUUAACUGGGUGUUGACAAUUUCCAUACAAAUUAUAAAAAAGAACCAUGAGUAUUAUAUUUAUAAAAUAUUAUUAAUAUUUUCGCAAUUCACUUAUGUUUGCAGGGACGUGUAUGCAAAUAACCCUUUUUUUUAUUAAGACCUUUUAAAGCUUUCAGGUUAUUUUAUUAGAAUUUUUGCACAUAGUAAAAUUUUUUAAUUGAGAUAUUUCAUUCAUUAAUUUACUUUUUUUUUAUAAAAAAAUAGUUAAUAAAAAUCACUCAAUGUAAAAGAAAAUAAAAUUGAAGAAGGUUUAAGUAAAAAAUGUUAAAAUUAAAGGGAUCGUUCAAAUGGCCUAUGAAAGAAAUUUUACAUAUUUUUAUUUUAUUGUCGAAGAUGGAUUUUAUACGAAUGUCACAUAAAAUUACUUUACUACCAAUAAUUUGGCUAUCUUUCUUUUUGUGUGUAAUGUAUGUAAAUUAUUAUAUUAAAUAGAAUUAAACAAUAAUAUCUGAGGUAAGAUUGAAUACUAAUAUUGAUAUUUAUGUGUCAUGGUAAACUGUGUAAUUUCUAUAACAACCCAACCACAGCAGCAAUAAUAAGCGUUGGGCCCAAACCAGCGGCCCAAAAUACUUAAACCUAGUUAUUAUAACUAGUAUCUGAGUCUCUUAUAUAUUCAAUUAUAUUUCCAUUCCUAUCCGAUAUGUCACAGUUUCUUAUAUAUCCAAAAGACUCCUCGUUAAGGUCCUGACGUCCUGCCUCAGCCGAGAGGUGCCACACAUUUCCAACACAUUUCCGGCUGGUGAACCAACUCUGAUAACCAAAUGUAACGAUCCAACCCAUUAGCAAUAAAACUUAUUAAACCCAAACCACCAGCGCAAAAAUUUUAAGCCCAGUUAUUAUUACUAGUGUCUAAGUCUCUUAUAUACCCAAUCAUAUGUCCAUUUCCAUCCGAUGUGAGAUUACUGGGUGUGACAAUUUCAUACCAAAUUAUAAAAAAAGAACCAUGAGUAUUAUAUUUUAUAAAUAUUAUUAAAUAUUUUCUGCAAUUCACUAUGUUUUGCAGGGACGUGUAUCAAAUAACCCUCUUUUUUUAUUAAGACUUUUAAGCUUUCAGGUAUUUAUUAGGAUUUUUGCACAUAGUAAAUUUUUUAAUUGAGAUAUUUCAUUCAUUAUUUACUUUUUUUUUUUAAAAAAAUAUUUAAUAAAAAUCACUCAAUUGUAAAACGAAAAUAAAAUUGAGAAGGUUUAAGUAAAAAAAUGUUAAAAUUAAGGGGGAUCGUUCAAAAUGGCCUAUGAAAGAAAUUUUACAUAUUUUUAUUUAUUGUCGAAGAUGGAUUUUAUACGAAUAUCACAUAAAAUUACUUUACUAUCAAUAAUUUUGGCUAUCUUUUUUUGUGUGUAAUGUAUGUAAAUAUUUAUAUUAAAUAGAAUUAAACAAUAAUUAUCUUGAGGUAAAGAUUGAAUACAAUAUUGAUAUUUAUGUGUCAUGGUAAACUGUGUAAUUUCUAGUAACGACCCAACCCACUAGCAAUAAUAACUCGUUGGGCCCAAACCAGCAGCCCAAAAUACUUAAACCCAGUUAUUAUAACUAGUAUCUGAGUCUCUUAUAUAUUCAAUUAUAUUUCCAUUCCUAUCCGAUAUGUCUAAGUUUCUUAUAUAUCCAAAAGACUCCCCUCGUUAAGGUCCUGACGUCCUGCCUCAGCCGAGAGGUGCCACACAUUUCCAAACACAUUUCCGGCUGGUGAACCAACUCUGAUAACCAAAUGUAACGAUCCAACCCAUUAGCAAUAAUAACUUAUUAAACCCAAACCACCAGCGCAAAAUAUUUAAGCCCAGUUAUUAUUAGUAGUGUCUAAGUCUCUUAUAUACCCAAUCACAUGUCCAUUUCCAUCCGAUGUGAGAUUACUGGGGUGUGACAAUUUCAUACCAAAUUAUAAAAAAGAACCAUGAGUAUUAUAUUUUAUAAAUAUUA